ACUCCUGCGGGAGGCAGCAGUAGGGAAUCUUCCACAAUGGGUGCAAACCUGAUGGAGCAAUGCCGCGUGAGUGAAGAAGGUCUUCGGAUCGUAAAGCUCUGUUGUUAGAGAAGAACACGUGCUAGGUAACUACUAGCGCCUUGACGGUAUCUAACCAGAAAGUCACGGCUAACUACGUGCCAGCAGCCGCGGUAAUACGUAGGUGACAAGCGUUGUCCGGAUUUAUUGGGCGUAAAGGGAGCGCAGGCGGUCUGUUUAGUCUAAUGUGAAAGCCCACGGCUUAACCGUGGAACGGCAUUGGAAACUGACAGACUUGAAUGUAGAAGAGGAAAAUGGAAUUCCAAGUGUAGCGGUGGAAUGCGUAGAUAUUUGGAGGAACACCAGUGGCGAAGGCGAUUUUCUGGUCUAACAUUGACGCUGAGGCUCGAAAGCGUGGGGAGCGAACAGGAUUAGAAACCCGAGUAGUCCC
rnacentral:rRNA from 1 species